rnacentral:rRNA from 1 species
UUGAAAGGGAAACGAUUGAAGUCAGUCGUACCGACGAGAAAUCAGCUUUUCGAAUGUGCAUUUGUGGGCGUAUGAGAUCUUCAUUGUUUGCAAUAUGUAUGUUUCUUUGGUGUACUUCUUCGUAUGGUAGGUCAACGUCGGUUUUGGUCGCCAUAAAAUGAUCGGGGGAAUGUAGCUUCGACCUCGGUUGAAGUGUUAUAGCCUUUGGUAAAUGUGGUGAUUAGGACCGAGGAUUGCAACGAAUACCUUUUAGGCUAUCCGUCUGACCUCUGAAAGUUACUUAGGUGCCGAAAGCUUGCUUACGGUCAUUUAAGUUUGACGGUCAAUAGGUUAGAACGUGAUUACAUUCGUUAAGGAUGUUGACGUA